rnacentral:rRNA from 1 species
CUACGGGUCGCACCAGUGGGGGAUAUUGCACAAUGGGGGAAACCCUGAUGCAGCAACGCCGCGUGAAGGAAGACGGUUUUCGGAUUGUAAACUUCUAUCAGCAGGGAAGAAAAUGACGGUACCUGACUAAGAAGCCCCGGCUAACUACGUGCCAGCAGCCGCGGUAAUACGUAGGGGGCAAGCGUUAUCCGGAAUUACUGGGUGUAAAGGGUACGUAGGCGGCUGAUCAAGUCAGAUGUGAAAGCCCGGAGCUCAACUCCGGGACUGCAUUUGAAACUGGUCGGCUAGAGUGCAGGAGAGGAAAGUGGAAUUCCUAGUGUAGCGGUGAAAUGCGUAGAUAUUAGGAAGAACACCAGUGGCGAAGGCGGCUUUCUGGACUGUAACUGACGCUGAGGUACGAAAGCGUGGGGAGCGAACAGGAUUAGAUACCCCCGUAGUC